UGAAUGUAUGUUGGUCAGAAUCAGAGCAUGUAUGACGCCCAAUCACCUAUCUUAUCAACGACUCUUUGUGAUUUGUGCCAAAUUAUUAAUUCCUUUUGAUCAUCGUGUCAAUUCCAGCAUGCCCAUUUCACAUCUUGCAGGAUAUAAAAGCUCUCUGUUAGAUGGAGUUAAUCACUUCUCUUUCUGAAACCUUCGUUUACUUGUAAAUGAAAGUAAGUUCUACUCUCCAAAUCACAAACCACUCUGCUAAACCAUCAUCCACAGCCCCCUUUUUUAGGUUCGUCAUGGGUUUCAUUGCUCUUCCCGGAUUUCUGUUGACUGCACUUGCAGCACUUAGGCCGAGUAAGUGCACUUUUUGGAAGGUUGCUUUAGACAAUAACAGCGCGUGUUUCGCAGACAACGUCAUCAUACAAUCUCAGUGAUGAGAUUGUGACUUUCGUUUGGACAAAAGAAAGAAUAUUUCAGAAAAGUGCGGAGUGUUAUAGAGAACUAACAACAUAUGCAAACUGAAUUAAAAUGCAAUAUCCCGCCAGAUUUAGUUUUAUUUUAUACUAAUUCUUUUUUUUUUUGGUGUUCCUCAGUUGAUGGUGCGAUCUUGUACGGAUCUUGAAAUUUUGCCAUCGGACCGUCUGAAUUCCAGUGCAAGUCUUUCGCAUUCUCGCCGGCAUUUUUUGUCCUGACGCAACAGCCGGAAUCCACGUACAGAUCUCUCUGUACAUGACUGACCUACCAGGGCCGACAUAUGAAGCAGCGGUGGGCUGGGUUGAGGCAGUGACUCCUUCCGGUUUUACUUCCUGUGUUGAGACUUCGGCUGGGAUCACAUCCACAAGAUCAGUCAAGCUUCAGUGGAUGGCUUUUGCGGGCAAUCCCGAAAUGGUUUGGCGGGAACUGCCGUCGUGCCCUUGUUUACAGCGGGAACCGAAAGCGUCGAUGUGGAUUUUAUCGGGGUGGUGUGUGCUAUUAAAUUCAACCUGUCAAAACCAUGGUUUCUUUAUUUUUCAAUCAGCUACACAUUUGUUGUAAUGUUUGAAAAAACAUUGCCAUUUUCUAAAAUAACUAUCCACAUCCAAAAUUGAAUCUCAUAUAAACGAAGUUUUCGAAAAAGUACAUUUGUUGAACGAGACGAUGGAAAUGGAUGCUUUUUUGCAACAGCAAGACGUUGCAAGAGCUUAAAAAAUUGCGAAGUGCUACUGACCUAAGCUGCAAUACAUUGAAAUUUGUUGUUGUUUUUUACAUACAUUUUCGACAACUCCGCACGGGUUCGCAACCGCUGUCCACAUUGACCCGCUAAGCUGUAUGCCUUCAAGAUUUGCUAGAGGGAGCUUAUGAUAAUAUUUGCUAUAUUCUCUCUCUGCUGAUUGAAGGUAAUGACUUUGAACGGGAACUACACAACCCCGCCCACAAUCAUAGUGACGUAAGGACACAGCACGUCGCAAGGCGUGAUCCCCGAGUACAACAGCAUUGCAUCAUGGGUAGAGUACAUCACGACUAACAGCACCAAGAUCUGCACCAAGGAGCUGCACACACCGAACGGUUACGACCCCGUCGAGCUCACCUCUCUCGUCAUCGGGACGUGAUGAAUGACUAAAACGACGUCCAGAUGAGCUAUACCAACACAGAGAUUACUAGAUUAUAUAAUAUAUUAGAAUAUAUAUGUCAGAUGAAUAUUAGAAUUAAUAAAUUGAAGCACA